rnacentral:rRNA from 1 species
UGGGGAAUAUUGGGCAAUGGGCGAAAGCCUGACCCAGCAACGCCGCGUGAAGGAAGAAGGCCUUCGGGUUGUAAACUUCUUUAUCAGGGACGAAGGAAGUGACGGUACCUGAUGAAUAAGCCACGGCUAACUACGUGCCAGCAGCCGCGGUAAUACGUAGGUGGCAAGCGUUAUCCGGAUUUACUGGGUGUAAAGGGAGCGUAGACGGCAUGGCAAGUCUGAAGUGAAAUGCGGGGGCUCAACCCCUGAACUGCUUUGGAAACUGUCAGGCUGGAGUGCAGGAGAGGUAAGUGGAAUUCCUAGUGUAGCGGUGAAAUGCGUAGAUAUUAGGAGGAACACCAGUGGCGAAGGCGGCUUACUGGACUGUAACUGACGUUGAGGCUCGAAAGCGUGGGGAGCAAACAGGAUUAGAUACCCUGGUAGU